GCCUGGGUGGCUCAGCGGUUGAGCGUCUGCCUUUGGCUCAGAGUGUGACCCCGGAGUCCUGGGAUCAAGUCCCACAUCAGGCU
rnacentral:tRNA from 1 species